ensembl:processed_transcript Platr12 pluripotency associated transcript 12
GAGGACUUAUUGGAAACACUGGUUAUUUCUGCCCAGUAACCUGGAGGCACACAAGGUAACCAUUCGCUUACGGCCAUUUUACCAGAACUGAGCCAGGUCUGAGAAGAUUCAGUGCUUGUUUCCCUAUCACUCCCUGUUUCACCUUGAGAAAAGCAUCCUGGUUCCACGAAACUGAGUCGCCAUGAGCCUUCUUCCGGUAGCCACAUCUAUUUUUUAAUCCUUCCGUACUAAUUCAAAUGAGUCUGGGGGCACAAGAAUUUUAACGUAGGGAGUAGGGUGGUUGGGAGCAAACUGAUGUGUUAACCUACCAUUUCAAGGUUUAAUACUGGCUGGGCUGUGGAGUUAGCAUUGCCUGAGGUGGGUCAGCUGGGCCCUCCCACUGCUCAUCCUUCAAAUGACACUGAGCAUGGCCUUUGCACACACUGCUGAGUGUCUCGUGGUAUGCAGCACGCAAGACCAUAUAUGGGUCUUGUGUGCCAAGAAAAAGGUGUGGCAGAGCAUAACCCAUAAAUAAUAAGGUACAUGGCACCUUCUUAUUCCAAGAGAAGAC